UACGAAGGGGGCUAGCGUUGCUCGGAAUCACUGGGCGUAAAGGGCGCGUAGGCGGCGUUUUAGUCGGGGAUGGAAGACCUGUGGCUCAACCACAGAAUGGCCUCGAUACUGGGACGCUUGAGUAUGGUAGAGGUUGGUGGAACUGCGAGUGUAGAGGUGAAAUUCGUAGAUAUUCGCAAGAACACCGGUGGCGAAGGCGGCCAAACUGGACCAU
rnacentral:rRNA from 1 species